rfam:Ixeridium yellow mottle virus 1 isolate Bonghwa, complete genome.
CAUAAUCAGCCAGACAUACGCAAGCUGCAAGUACUGGAGAUUUUAGUCUUGUUACAA